ensembl:lncRNA
GCCCCGCCUGUAAGCAGGGUCUGUGGGUGGGAGCCUUUGUGCUCCGCUGGCAGCCUGUGUGGGGCGACCGCCCUGAUAGCAGGGUUUGGGUCAAGGUGCCCCUGACUGGGGGAGAAGGAGCCCCCCGUGGCCUUCUGGGACCGGGGCUGCCCUGUAAGUCAGGGUGUGGCUGAGCCCUGGGGUACCAGGCCCUUUGCGGUGGAAGCGGCGACCGGGGCCCCUCUGUAAGCAGGGGUGUGGACCCUUUGGCCGCCACGUUGUGUGCCCAGCCCCAUUUGCCCAGGCUGCCCGACUCUGCGGCCCGUUGCAGCAGCGUCUGGAAGUCCGCGGCGCAUGGAAGUGGAGCUCCCGCAGAAGACGGCGGAAGAAGCCACGUGUGGAACCGGGCGGCAGGAGGAUGCAAGCAGAGGGAGCAAGAAGAGGAAGCAGAAGACUGCGGCUGGGCUAAGGGAGAGGCGGCCUGGGCAAAAGCAUCUCCCUGUCACCAGGGGCAUAGUCAUGUCGCAGUAGAGCGUUGCCGGCACUUUAGGUGACCAGGCCGGCUUUGUGCUGGGCGACCUCCCUGUAAGCAGGGCUCGGGUCUUUGCUGUAGUUGGCCUUUUGCCUUGUUGCUCCUUUGGCUGCCUGGGGAAGGUGGGCCCCUGUAAGGAGGGCGAGAGCCGCUUUCUCCGCACCCGAGUGGGAAAUGGAGCUCGCUGGACCCCACGGGCACCCUGUAAGCAGGGUAGCGCCCUUCCCCUGCCACUGUUCCUCUGGCCGCUCAGCGCUGAUGCCUGCUGGUGGCCUGCCCGUGUGUUGGCCCUGUACUCGGGGCGUGUGUCACGCCACUUGGCCUUAAGUCACCUGGGAAUCCCCUUGGCGCGUUGAGGUCUGAGGCCUCCGUGCAGCCCCUUUUGUCUUGCCCCUUUUUUCCUAGGGCAGAACAGAGCUGUGUGGUAGUUGCGUGGCCAUGGCCGCCCUGUAUCCAGGGUUUGGGUCUGUGCCUGUGUGGCCCCCUGUCCUGCUGGCGACACGCCAGCGUGACAGCCCCGUACUCGGGGCGUGUGUCACAAACUGUGGAGCCCUCUGUCCCCGGAGCGGCCCGCCCCCCCUGUAAUCAGGUCUGGGGAGGCUGCGUUGGUGCAGCCGGCUGCUUUAGCCAGCUGGUGGGAGUGACCCCUCCCUGGCCCGUUAGAGGGUGCAGGUUGAGGUGCUACUUGUGGCUGGGGCGACUUCCCCGCUGUGUGGGUAGAGGUUGUUCCCUGGGCUCCUGAAGACGUGGUGAUGAUUGUGCUGCGGCCGGGCGGGCCCGCCUGUACCUCGGGCGUUGGCAGGAGCUGCGUGCUCCGUGGGGCUUUUGGACGUGGUGCGGCGUGGGGUACCGUCCUGUAGUCAGGGCUGUGCGUGCCCCCUGCGCUUAGGAGGAUGAGUUCUGAGAGACCCCCUGUACUCAGGUGGGUACCUUCGGCCCGGCCUUUCAGAGGCGUGGUGCUGAGAGAUGUGGGGUUGGGAUCUCGGCCUUUGGCCGUGCCGCCCUGCUGCCUGGCCGCUGAGAGUCGUUCCUGCUGGCGAGGGGGAAACCGAGCUCUGUGGCUCCUGGGUGUCAUCGCCCCGCCUGUAAGCAGGGUCUGUGGGUGGGAGCCUUUGUGCUCCGCUGGCAGCCUGUGUGGGGCGACCGCCCUGAUAGCAGGGUUUGGGUCAAGGUGCCCCUGACUGGGGGAGAAGGAGCCCCCCGUGGCCUUCUGGGACCGGGGCUGCCCUGUAAGUCAGGGUGUGGCUGAGCCCUGGGGUACCAGGCCCUUUGCGGUGGAAGCGGCGACCGGGGCCCCUCUGUAAGCAGGGGUGUGGACCCUUUGGCCGCCACGUUGUGUGCCCAGCCCCAUUUGCCCAGGCUGCCCGACUCUGCGGCCCGUUGCAGCAGCGUCUGGAAGUCCGCGGCGCAUGGAAGUGGAGCUCCCGCAGAAGACGGCGGAAGAAGCCGCAUGUGGAACCGGAGCACAUGAGGGAGGAAGAGGCUGAUGCUGAGGUUGGGCAGUGUUUUGUAAUUAGACCAAUUUUUCUUAAUAUUUAUGGUGUUUCCCCUUAACAUAUAUGCUUUGAUUAUUCACCAAAAUUAUGUACUACCCCCUGUAUUAAAAGUUUUUUUCUUGUUGAUGUGAUGUCUGCCUCUUUUUUUCUUCUUCUUUUUAUGUGUUUAUGAUCUUUUUUUGUCUAUUUGCAUUUUAGUGUGUGCUGGAAGUAGUUUUUCCUUAUUUUUCUUGUCUAGAUUUACCUAAGCCACUUCAGUCUUAACCGCUCCAUCUACUUCCUGGUUUUUUUUGAAGUUUUUUUUUGGUGGCACAACUCUUGUGCACAUGACCAUCUACAUUACUUACUUUUACAGCCAUGUUUUCUACCUAGGCAGCAAUAUCUUUUCACAGUGCAGCAUCCCAGAUCUACUGGUCUCUGUGCUGCUAGUUCUAGUUCCAUUGCUGUUACCACCCCCCACAGGGCAUUUGCGUCAGUGUAAUGAUAUAGCUCUGGCCAUUUUCUUAUUCAGCAACAUUUGAAGCCAGCUGGUCUGCCUUUGUUUCUGAUAACUGUCUCAAUUCAUCCUUUCCUUCAG